UUAUGGACUGGCGAUGGAGUUCGCCAUAACUGCCACAAUGGCUAAUAACUCCUACAUAGCG
rnacentral:ncRNA from 1 species